UACGGAGGGUGCAAGCGUUGUCCGGAUUUAUUGGGCUUAAAGGGUGCGUAGGCGGUUAAUUAAGUCAGCGGUGAAAUUCCACAGCUCAACUGUGGAACUGCCAUUGAUACUGGUUGGCUUGAGUACAGAUGAGGUAGGCGGAAUUGACAGUGUAGCGGUGAAAUGCUUAGAUAUUGUCAAGAACACCUAUUGCGAAGGCAGCUUACUAAGCUGUAACUGACGCUGAGGCACGAAAGCGUGGGGAUCAAACAGG
rnacentral:rRNA from 1 species